GCAUUUAGGCACACCCACUGUACUAUGAACGUUAUCUCUUAUCUGCUACUAGUGCUACAGCCAAAGUUUCAGUUUCAUUCAAGUUGCUGCUUUGGUCACCAAGGUUUGCUUAAACGAUACUCGUGCAUUCCAUUUUUUCUUUUGAACGUGUUUGACCGCGUAACGAAUAAUUUAGAUUGCGAUCUCAUUUUGAGGAUCGUUGAUUGUUUUUGAAAUAUUGUAACGUAAUUUUUUGUAGAUAUGAAAAGUAAUACGUCUUCCCGGAUGAGGGCGUCAAGCUAUUCAUCCUUUUUGAUCUUGACUGCUGGAAUGACAUUCGCGUUUUUCCUAAUUUACAUCUACCAUUUAAUCCAACACGGAUGGUGAGGAUGGUGACAUGGUGUGUGUUGGGAAUGUAAUCGCCCAACAGACGACGACAACCCGAUCCGGCCGCCGGAUGACUGCAAUUCAGCUUUCGAAGAUUAAUAAUAAUUAAUAAUUUAUUAAUGUUUAGUGCAAUUAAAUGCCAACUGUUUAUGCUAAUCAGAAAUAAAACCCAGAUUGUCUU